GGGAACAGAGGGGAGCGGGAACGGCGGAGCCGGCACUGAGGGGAGCGGACACAGAACGGAGCGGGCACAGAGCGGGACCAGCACGGCAGGACCGGCACGGCGGAACCGGCACGGCAGGACCGGCACGGCGGGACCGGCACGGCUGCGGGCGGGCAGGAGCGGCCGGUGCGGCCCCCCCCGUUCCGGAGCGGGCUGGACACAUCCAGACCCCGGCUGGACUGACCCUGCCUUGCGCACCGCUUGGGGCCGAUGGUCUCCAGAGGUCUCUCUGCCAAGCCCAAGUGUUCCGGGAGACGCGAAUGGGCCGGGAGCGCGUCAGCGGAGAAAUCCUCGGUGCGGGAGAGCUCAGUGGUACAAGCUUGUCUUAAAGGCCUGAGAGUUUGUAGGAGAGCAUGCACGGACUGUGGAAGGCAGUACUCCUUUAUACCACUCCUCAUCUGCAUCUGCAAACACUUUGUACCUGCUGCCUUCUAUUCUGUAUGUUUACCUGUGUCAGGCUUGCUAAGUUUGUUUACAGUUGGCCUGAGUUAAGAUACAGGGGAUGUAAAGGCCUUUUCAAAAUAAUUAUUCUGCCGAUUGCCUACGGAUCUCACGGACUCCAAUCUUUGUGUAGUGAUCUAACAAGUGUUCGCUGCCUUUGCUGAAUGGGGUUAUCUGGAGCAGAUGUUUUGUGCAUCCUCUGAACUGAACACUUAAUUAUAAUGCUGAUAAAACAGAUGCUAAAAAGUAGUUUCCACAUGGUAAUUUAUCUGUUUAACAAUUAAAUAAGUGUUUGCCAGAAGCUCAAAUGCUAUGAUAAUGGAAUUUUUAAUUAUUCCAAAUUAAAGUGAUAGAUACUUUGCAGGGAAAAUGUAGUUUACUAAUAAAUGUGUUACAAUAUUAAGAAAUAACUAAAGCACAGUGAGUAUUAUAUAUAUACACAGUUACAGAUUGCUUUCCCCCCCAUGUUUAUAUUAUUUAAAACUGCCAAACUGCACUACUGUGGCUUUAUGGUCUCCUAUUUAUAAACACAUUCCUGUUUGUAAAAAGGAGAGGUGGAAUUCACAAGGGUUUUACCAGGAUAGCAUUGUGCUGAGGAAAAGAAAAGAUGAGUUGCAUAUUCUGAAAAAAAAAAUCCUGACAUCUAGAGGCACUCAGCAAAAAUGCUGAAACCCACACAAACCCAACUCAUCUCAGAAAGGGAAGGCAAAUUCAACAUGCCAGUGAUUUUUCCAAGAUCUCACACAACAUUUGGAUUGGCAUUACGCUAUCAAGUAAGCAAAAAUUACAGCACACUCCAGCCACUCUUGUAAUUAUAAAUGCAAUUACACUCUUUGUGUAUAUUGUGUCUCAGAGGAAAUUAACAAUAAACUACAUUUGUGUAUAUCA